ACUUCUCUCUCUCACUUGACGUCACCUAAGAUGUGCCUGCUUCCCCUUCUGCCGUGAUUGUACAUUUCCUGAGGCCGCCCCAGCCAUGUGGAAUGACACCCCUGCUAGAAUCUAGGAAUUCAGAAAGAAAAGGACUGCCCUCUGUGCUUCAGGAACAUUCACACAAAAUGUGAAUCCGAAUUGUUGCAGAAUGUCAAAGGAGAGCUCUUCCUGCUGUCUCAGAAUUUCAGCUGGAGCUACAGAGGUCAAAGAGAGGAUGUUAAAUACCCACUAAUUUGAAAGCGAGUUGCCAGGCCAGCUGUGCAGAAGAUGCUAAGGGGCAACCCCGAAAGACAGAUAAGCAUUUGUUUACGACGUGCCUCAAGCCAAUACAAGGAGAAAAAAGAAGAGCAAUAAAGGAAAGACCAUGAGGAUGGGUUUCUGUGAGAAGAGGUGUAGUUUUCUUUUCUUCUCCAUACCUUGACCCAAGUUGAGAGGCUGUAAAAAUGCCCUGACAGAGUUUGGGUGUGCUUCCUGCCCAGAGGAAGACUAACCUGGAGCAAGCAGGUGCGGAGAGAACUUCAGAGAAUUUGGACUCCCUACAGUCGGGGGCACAGGGUUUUGUGUUGACUUGCACUUGUAGAAGUCCGAUGCCAGCCAGGCGCAGUGGCUCACGCCUGUAAUCCUAGCACUUUGGGAGGCCCAGGCGGGUGGAUCACGAGGUCAGGAGAUCGAGACCAUCCUGGCUAACACCGUGAAACCCCGUCUCUAUUAAAAAGAAUACAAACAAUUAGCCAGGAGUGGUGGCGGCGCCUGUACUCCCAGCUACUGGGGAGGCUGAGGCAGGAGAAUGGCGUGAACCCGGGAGGUGGAGCUUGCAGUGAGCCGAGAUUGCGCCAUUGCACUCCAGCCUGGGCGACAGAGUGAGACUCUGUCAAAAAAAAAAAAAAAAGAAAGAAAAAAGAAAAAGAAAGAAAGAAAAAAAAAGGUCCGAUGCCAAUAGGCUGGGCUGCCUUUAGUGGGCCUUAUAGAAGGAAGAGCCAAGAGGCUUUUGAUGGAAGCGAAUUCUAUUUUUGCUUAUCCCAAACCAAGGGUACUAUUUCCAGAGGUCUCUUGGAACUCUAGAAGCUAUCUGGCCUUCGAUUGUUUGGAAAAUGAUCCCACCCCAAAGGGCUUCCUGCUGAGGAAAGAUGAACCUGGUUGAAAGAGGCUGGUCUGUACUGUCGGAUGCAGAAGGAAAGGCAAAGGAUGGAAGAAGCAAAGCUUUUAAGCUGCCACUGAGAGACUGUAUUAUCACCAUAGGCAAGAGUGCUGAGUAAAGUCUGCAGCAAGAGGUGCGGUUGGAUUUCUGAGGAGCCCACCGUACUCCAAGGAGCGGGAAGAACUGGCCCUGUGGCAUCAGCUGCACCAUUUCAGAUUAUAACAUUCCAGUCUAACAUUCCAUUUGAUUUUUUCUCCUCUCUCCCACCUUCAACCUUGGAGAGCUGGAGACAGCAGAGAGAGUGGAAGAGUGGGAGGAAUAGGAGAUCAGUAAAGUAGAUAAAUAGGAAAGAAAGAAACCCUACCUCUUUCUCCAGUGCAGAUUUCUGAGUCUGAUCAGCCUCUGUGUGGGGCUACAAAAAUUGUAGGCUUUAAUAGUAGAAUAUGAAACUAUUUAUUAAACUUCAAGGUGAAGAUAAAAGAUAUAGGAACCUCAUAAGCUUUCAUGCAGAGAGAGGGAUGAAUUGACGAAGUGGUUUUAAUAGAAUAGCAGGGAGGGGGGAUGGAAACAACUGCUUUCUAUUUGUACUGGCUCCCUCAUUAAAGUCACUGCAUUACAUUCCUCAGAAUUAGGGAUAUUUGGAGUGAAAGUAAUAACUCCAAUUCAAUUUUAUUUCUUCAAAUGUGAAUUUGUAUGUUAGCUUGGGUUCCUCCAAAACAGGCUGAGAUAAAGAUUAAGAUGCAAUUUAUUUUGGGUGUGAUUCUCAAAAACAGCAGCAGAGGAAUGUGGAAUGAAGGCAGCUAACAAAGCAUUCAUUUUAAAGCAAGUUAUAUGGUUGGUUAGUAGACCUCAACACCACUGGAAGAACUCUGGAAAUCAGGAUAGGGCACAUGCUUCAGAGUUAUGCCAAUGAAGACAUAAGGGAACUGUGAUGUUCCUAAAUCAACUGCUGUUAGUCUUUGUUACAGAUCUACACUUGGAGAGGCAUUCAUUCUCUGGCGCUUCUAGACUGCAAUAUAGAUGGCAAGAAGACACUGCCAGCAAGAAUAGCUCUCAGGCAAAAUAUAUGCAUGCUGGCAAGAGCUGCACUGCAAUAGGGCAAGAAAAUGUAAACAGGGAACUGACAAAAUCAAGUAUGUACCAUGGAUCAUAUAUUAAGAUGGGAGAGUAAAACAUAGAUAGCUCCAUCUUUUCUAUUGGGGAGUUUUAAGAAUAGAUUUAAGUUCUCUCUUGGGAAGCUUUAUGUGUAAUGUGUCUGAAGCAAAGAAUAUUGAACAACUCCUGUGCGUUUCUAUUAGAGCUAUUACAUAUAGUUAUAAAAAGGAGACAUUUUUAUUUGUACUAGAGGUCAGACUUUUCAAGUUUUAAAAUUUAAAAAU